GUGUACCGGUUGUGACGCCAGUCGCAUCGCCGGGUAGCUAUGUUCGGAAUGGAUAACCGCUGAAAGCAUCUAAGCGGGAAGCCUACCUCAAGAUAAGAUUUCCCUAGGACUUUAUGUCCUCUAAAGAGCCGUUCGAGACUAGGACGUUGAUAGGUUGGAUGUGGAAGCAUAGUGAUAUGUGAAGCUGACCAAUACUAAUUGCUCGUGAGGCUUGACUAUACAACACCCAAGCAGUUG
rnacentral:rRNA from 1 species